UACACUGUCAUGGCAAUCAUGUCUUCCAAUUUCUUACGCGGUUUGGUUUCCACUAGCAGAUACUUUUUGCACUGUCAAUGACCACAACAGGAAUCUUAGACCGCUAUGGAAAAUAUUCCAUUCGCAGCUAUAUCUUUAUGCCAAUUUGGACGGGACUUUUGGUCAUUACAUACAGAGCAAUGAAUAUACUCUGUAUCAUCUUACGUAGCCUCAUCAGCAAAAAUUGAGAUUUUCCUUUCAGCUCGGCAACAAUGGCCUCAAUGGAAAGAAAUCCUUAUUUAAAGCUUGUUGAUUCCCCAAUGGAGGAUUGAAAUGACAGGGAGAUGACAACCCCUUCACCUUCCUUGCAGGUUCAAGGAAGUAAUUUUGUGGCAAGUGGACUUGUUCAGGUUGUGAAGUGCUCACUAUACACUUUAUAUCAGCUUUUCAAAAUGUGACCAUUUCUUGUGUGUUAAAUGAUAUUGUGGAAUAAUCCCAAGAAAUAUACCAUUCAAUGUAAUAAUCCAUGAAAUAUUUUUGCUCCCACACAAUCAGUCUGAAUACAUUAUGUGACAGAAUAUGCCUCAGCCUAAACUGGGGAAUAUCCUAGGAUAUACCACUAGUCAUAAUUCCCCAAUUUUCAAGCCUUACAUUUAUAAUGAUAAAAGCAUUAGUUUUAAAUACUGAAACAGACAAAGGCUUGUUUUGGGACCAGGUACAUCAGUUUAUUAAACGUAUAAAACCCAUGUACAUAAAAAAAACUAGACUAUUAAAUCAAAGGUAUUCAACACAUGUGUGGAAGUGCUGUAGCCUCAUGGUUAGUGCUCGACUCCAGAUCGAGUGGUCCCGGUUGAGCCCUAGCCGGGGUCAUUGUGUUAUGAUCUUGGGCAAGUGCCUCUCUUCACGCAGGGGAACAAAUGGCUGCUGGCAAAUUUAAUGCUGGGGGUAACCCUGCAAUGAACUAGUAUUCUAUCCAGGGGGAAGUAGAAAUACUCCUAGUCGCUUCAUGUUAUGGAAACCAGGGUUAAGCGCCGGCCCAAUGGGCUACUUGGCUUGUAAGUGGGCUUUAUCCUUACCUUUAACCAUUCAACAUAUACACCAAAACAACCAUCCAGUAAUCAAGGAUUAAUUACAAACACUAAUAUAGAAACAAUCAAAAGUGGCUAUCAGAAGUGGGUGGGAGAGAAACUAAUAAGACUUUCUUAGAAGCUAGAAAUAAACUUAUUUAACUUACUUGCUAGACUGCUAAUAACUAUUAUUUAAAACUGGAUCAUUGGAUAAUGCAAUUCAAGAAUUUU